GGGACGGGCUGUCAAUCAGCGGGCCCAGCGCCUGCGCUUAACCCUUGCGGUCCCGAGGCGGGGAAGGGCAGCAUGCAGAGUUGUAAGCAAUUUGGGGUUCCGGCAGAGAUGAGGAUAUUUAGUUAAGGCAAGGGGUUUGGGGUCACAAGGUGCAGCUUGAGGAGAGACUGGGAGGUGUGUAUUCUUGUUUUGUGAGAAGCCUCGUCAAUUUUUCGUCCUGCCCUGGAGCGGCUCCUGGCUGAGGGUGGGGCGGGGAAUGGAAGCACUCUCACUCCGAUCCUUAGAUAUGGACUAAGCACCUUCUCCUCAGUAUUAAAUAACGUGCAGUGCAAACGAAGCUUCGGUCCCCUUUCUUGGGGAAAAUUCAAAGACUCCCUUUUAUCCAGCCUCCUAGGAGGCAAGCCUGGGGCUGUGCAUUUUAUCAGCGAAUUUUCCCAGCAACCCUCCAAGCCCGGGGAUUGAGGCUCUGAGAAAUCUGAGAACCAAAGGCAGGAACUGCGAAGGCCUUGGAACUGAACCUCCCAGAGGGCCCUGUGGGCCAGAGACAAUGGCCAAGUGACCGGAGCAGGUAAAAGAGCCUUCGAGUCCAGGCAACAGACGAAGGACCAAGAUGCAGCAGAACAGUGACUGAACAGCAGAACAGCCGAGUCACUGGCUGGGCUAGGGUCUGCUCACAGCCCCAUGUGCCCAGCUGGCCCCACUCUCAGCCUCCACAAGAAUCCCCUUGAUCUUAGCCUGACCCCAGGAAAAGUGAAUUGAUCAAAUUACUAAGAAUUGACUGAGGUUUGCUUUGUGCCACCUGGUGGAAGGAGGUUUGUAUUUGUUUCCUGGCGCUGCUGUCACCAAUAACCACAAACCGGGUGGCUUAAAACAACAGAAAUGUAUUCUCUUGCAUUCUUGAGGCCGGAAGUCCAAAAUCAAGGCUUUGGCAGCCUGGGGCCCUGCUCCUUCUGCAAGCUGCAGGGGAGGGUCCUUCCUGCCUCCUCCAGCCUCUGGCUUUACCAGCCUCCUGUGUCCUUGGUUUGUAGAAGCAUCUCCCCUAGAGCUUUGCUUCUGUCUUCACACAGCAUCUGUGUGCAAAUUUCACUCUUCUUCUUCUUAAGUAUUUAUUUCACUGCAUCGGAUCUUAGUUGCAUCACAUAGAUCUUCAAUCUUAAUUGUAGCAUGUGGGAUCUAGUUCCCUGACCAGUAAUAGAACCUGGGCCCCCUGCACUGGUAACGUGGAGUCUUAGCCACGUUUAGC
ensembl:lncRNA